GAGCCAGCUCAGCCCAGCGGUUCCAUUGACCAACGCAUUGCUUGGAUCCCCCAAUCGCUUCCAGCAGUUUGAGACCCGUGGGCGCUGCCUGGUUGUUGU
ensembl:vault_RNA Vault Vault RNA